rnacentral:rRNA from 1 species
AUGGGCGAAAGCCUGAUGCAGCGACGCCGCGUGCGGGAUGAAGGCCUUCGGGUUGUAAACCGCUUUCAGCAGGGACGAGGCGAAAGUGACGGUACCUGCAGAAGAAGCCCCGGCUAACUACGUGCCAGCAGCCGCGGUAAUACGUAGGGGGCAAGCGUUAUCCGGAUUCAUUGGGCGUAAAGCGCGCGUAGGCUGCCCAGUAGGUCGAGAGUUAAAUCCGGGGGCUCAACCCCCGUCCGCUCCCGAUACCGCUGGGAUUCGAGUCUGGUAGGGGAAGGUGGAAUUCCCAGUGUAGCGGUGGAAUGCGCAGAUAUUGGGAAGAACACCGGUGGCGAAGGCGGCCUUCUGGGCCAUGACUGACGCUGAGGCGCGAAAGCUAGGGGAGCGAACAGGAUUAGAUACCCUGGUAGUCCUAGCCGUAAACGAUGGGCACUAGGUGUGGGGAGGCUUUACUUUCCGUGCCGACGCUAACGCAUUAAGUGCCCCGCCUGGGGAGUACGGCCCGCAAGGCUAAAACUCAAAGGAAUUGACGGGGGCCC